AGAGUUUGAUCCUGGCUCAGAUUGAACGCUGGCGGCAUGCCUUACACAUGCAAGUCGAACGGUAACAGGGAGCUUGCUCCGCUGACGAGUGGCGAACGGGUGAGUAAUAUAUCGGAACGUACCUUUGAGUGGGGGAUAACUAGUCGAAAGAUUAGCUAAUACCGCAUACGAUCUACGGAUGAAAGUGGGGGAUCGCAAGACCUCAUGCUCAUAGAGCGGCCGAUAUCUGAUUAGCUAGUUGGUGAGGUAAAGGCUCACCAAGGCUUCGAUCAGUAGCUGGUCUGAGAGGACGACCAGCCACACUGGGACUGAGACACGGCCCAGACUCCUACGGGAGGCAGCAGUGGGGAAUUUGGACA
rnacentral:rRNA from 1 species